UACGUAGGUGGCAAGCGUUGUCCGGAUUUAUUGGGUUUAAAGGGUGCGUAGGCGGUCAUGUAAGUCAGUGCUGAAAUAUCCCGGCUUAACCGGGAGGGUGGCAUUGAUACUGUAUGACUUGAGUAAAGUUGAGGUUGGCGGAAUGGACGGUGUAGCGGUGAAAUGCUUAGAUAUCGUCCAGAACACCGAUAGCGAAGGCAGCUUACUAAAGAGUAACUGACGCUGAGGCACGAAAGUGUGGGGAUCAAACAGG
rnacentral:rRNA from 1 species